rnacentral:rRNA from 1 species
UUAAAUUGAAGAGUUUGAUCAUGGCUCAGAUUGAACGCUGGCGGCAGGCCUAACACAUGCAAGUCGAGCGGUAGCACAGAGAGCUUGCUCUCGGGUGACGAGCGGCGGACGGGUGAGUAAUGUCUGGGAAACUGCCUGAUGGAGG